GACGAACGCUGGCGGCGUGCUUAACACAUGCAAGUCGAACGGAAAGGUCCUGCCUGUGUGGGGUGCUCGAGUGGCGAACGGGUGUGUAACACGUGAGUAUCCUGCCCUCGACUUUGGGAUAACUUCAGGAAACUGGGACUAACACGAGAUAGGAGCUCCUGCUGCAUGGGGGGGGAUGGAAAGUUGCGGCGGUUGGGGAUGGACUCGCGGCUUAUCAGCUUGCUGGUGGGGUAGUGGCUUACCAAGGCUUUGACGGGUAGCCGGCCGGAGAGGGUGACCGGCCACAUUGGGACUGAGAUACGGCCCGGACUACUCCGGGAGGCAGCAGUGGGGAAUAUUGCACAAUGGGCGGAAGCCAGCUGCAGCAACGCCGCGUGGGGGAUGACGGCCUUCGGGUUGUAAACCGCUUUCGCCUGUGACGAAGCGUGAGUGACGGUAAUGGGUAAAGAAGCACCGGCUAACUACGUG
rnacentral:rRNA from 1 species